UUUUAAAGAUUUGAUUAUGAGACAAACACUUGCGUGUGUUUUGUCAUAUGAUUUACCAUUGCCCUGCCCUGUUAAAAUAAAUGACUUUAUUUCUACUCUAGGUUCCGCACUUGAUCUUCUAUUAAUAAGACCUCAUAUCGAGUCUGGAGUGACACAUGGGAAAAUCAAGUUCCUAAUGUCUUGUUGCAACGAGGGCUGCACCACUGGUGAUAUUGAUAAAUUAGGCAGCAGUCUCCUAAAUGAAAUAUUACAGUACAUAACAAGCAAGAAGCUCAUUAUUUCCAGGAUCAGCUUUAUCGGCUUUUCUUUGGGCAAUCUAAUAAUACGCUCAGCCCUGUGGAGACCUGAAUUUGAAGGCUACCGUGGAAACCUGCACACUUACCUCUCCUUCGGUGGACCACAUAUGGGCCUUCUGUACCCCAACUCGUUUCUCUUUAAAACUGGCCUGUGGUUAGAGAAGCGGUUGCAUAUAGGUGUCUCCGUAUCUCAGAUGGCAUUAUCAGAUCACAAAGACCCAAGACAAAGUUUCCUCUACAAACUCAGUCAGAAAAAAGGCUUGGAGCACUUCAAGAAUGUGAUUCUCGUGAGCGCGUUACAAGAUUACCUUGUUCCCCAUCACUCCGCUCGUAUUGAAAUGUGCAAAGAUGCUGUGAAGGGAGAUGAGUUAGGAGCUGUUUACAAUGAGAUGCUCCGAAACCUCCUUGAGCCUGUUCUACACAACGAGAACUGUAACUUUGUCAGAUACGACGUUAGUUUCGAUCUGGCCAAAUCAUUCUUGUCUUUCGCUGGGAUUGAAGGCCACCUCGCAUUAAUUUCAUCUUGGCAAUAUUUGGAAAACUUCUUUCAAAACGCUGGCCUGAAAUAUUUUGAAUAGAAGAAAUGUGAUGCCCGACGUGUUUAACACUAUUGAAGUGCCAGAGACAUUGAGUUGCAGAACCUUUUCUACCUUGUUGCACAAUGGACUAAUGAUUUUGCCGCAAAGACCGAUCUACUGUAAAAUGCUGAUGUUAUAGACCUGUGAAAUGUAUUUGUUCUUUGUAACUGAUUUACCAAUAAAAUAAACUUUAAUUAAACAUAUUUGUUGAUUCCUUUAUCCUUUAAUAGAAAAUGGUCAGACAUGAUCAUGGGGAGGGAAAAGUCAAAAUGUUUUUUGUGACACCCUGAUAGAGACAAAUUGCAUAAAAAAUAUGUAUAAAAACUUUCCAACGAUGCAAACACCAUUAAGC